rnacentral:rRNA from 1 species
GACGAACGCUGGCGGCGUGCCUAACACAUGCAAGUCGAGCGAUGAAGUUUUCUUCGGAAAACGGAUUAGCGGCGGACGGGUGAGUAACACGUGAGUAACCUGCCUCAAAGAGGGGGAUAGCCUUCCGAAAGGAAGAUUAAUACCGCAUAAUAUCAGAUGACCGCAUGGUCGACUGAUUAAAGGAGUAAUCCGCUUUGAGAUGGACUCGCGGCGCAUUAGCUAGUUGGUAAGGUAACGGCUUACCAAGGCGACGAUGCGUAGCCGACCUGAGAGGGUGAUCGGCCACAUUGGGACUGAGACACGGCCCAG